CGCCAUAGGGUGGCCGGUCGUUGAAACUGACGCUGCGCGUCAGUUUCAACGACCGGCCACCUUAUGGCGCU
rnacentral:precursor_RNA from 1 species